UAUGGUAAUUGUGUGCCAGAAGAAGAGGUAAUACGUAUGGUGCAAGCGUUAUCCGGAUUUACUGGGUGUAAAGGGAGCGCAGGCGGUGCGGCAAGUCUGAUGUGAAAGCCCGGGGCUCAACCCCGGUACUGCAUUGGAAACUGUCGUACUAGAGUGUCGGAGGGGUAAGCGGAAUUCCUAGUGUAGCGGUGAAAUGCGUAGAUAUUAGGAGGAACACCAGUGGCGAAGGCGGCUUACUGGACGAUAACUGACGCUGAGGCUCGAAAGCGUGGGGAGCAAACAGG
rnacentral:rRNA from 1 species